rnacentral:rRNA from 1 species
AUUGAACGCUGGCGGCAUGCUUUACACAUGCAAGUCGAACGGUAACAGGCCUUCGGGUGCUGACGAGUGGCGAACGGGUGCGUAAUGCAUCGGAACGUACCCAGAGGUGGGGGAUAACGCAGCGAAAGCUGUGCUAAUACCGCAUGUGAUCUGAGGAUGAAAGCGGGGGACCGAGCAGCAAUGUUUGGCCUCGCGCCUUUGGAGCGGCCGAUGUCGGAUUAGCUAGUUGGUGGGGUAAAGGCCUACCAAGGCGACGAUCCGUAGCUGGUCUGAGAGGACGAGCAGCCACACUGGGACUGAGACACGGCCCAGACUCCUACGGGAGGCAGCAGUGGGGAAUUUUGGACAAUGGGCGCAAGCCUGAUCCAGCGAUGCCGCGUGCGGGAAGAAGGCCUUCGGGUUGUAAACCGCUUUUGGCAGGAACGAAACGGUGUCCGCUAAUACCGGGCGCUAAUGACGGUACCUGCAGAAUAAGCACCGGCUAACUACGUG